AAAUUAAUUAUUUAUCACUGCCCCAGGAGCUUCGUGGACUCGAGAUUUGUUCAAAUCAUUAUUUAAGGAAUGCAAAUCCACUACAGAUGUCGUAAAUCAACGGAGCGAACAAACAAUGACGACUCUGCCCUGACUCUGACUCACAAUCAGAAGGAUAUGGGAAUCGAUGAUUUUCAUGAAUUGUGAGGAGGCUGCGGAAGUGCGGACUAACGUAGAACAAAUUUUCACCUCUGAAAAAUGGAAGCGAGGUAAGCCCGUAAUUUGAUUGUGACUGUACAUUUACUCUUAGUGCAACGAAAAUUUUCCGGAAUCUUCUUGGGUGCCUAAAGAUCCAUGUAAAUCCUGAUUCUCUUGAAAAUACCAUCAGAAAAAUUGCAGGCUUCCAGUUAAAUUCGAAUUUUCCAACCUAGAUGAGUUUUUAUUUAUUCGUAUAAAUAAGUCUAUAACGAGGGCUGUAUAAUAAGGAAGUGCUAAUUACGAUUAAACAAGGCAUUAUAGCUAUGUAAUCGAGUAACUUCG
rnacentral:misc_RNA from 1 species